CCGGCACGGGUGAGUAACACGUAUGCAAUCCACCUGUAACAGGGGGAUAACCGGAGAAAUCCGGACUAAUACCCCAUAAUAUGGGCGCUCCGCAUGGAGAGCCCAUUAAAGAGAGCAAUUUUGGUUACAGACGAGCAUGCGCUCCAUUAGCCAGUUGGCGGGGUAACGGCCCACCAAAGCGACGAUGGAUAGGGGUUCUGAGAGGAAGGUCCCCCACAUUGGAACUGAGACACGGUCCAA
rnacentral:rRNA from 1 species